AGUGGCGGACGGGUGAGUAACGCGUGGGUAACCUGCCUCAUACAGGGGGAUAACAGUUAGAAAUGACUGCUAAUACCGCAUAAGACCACAGCACCGCAUGGUGCAGGGGUAAAAACUCCGGUGGUAUGAGAUGGACCCGCGUCUGAUUAGGUAGUUGGUGGGGUAACGGCUACCAAGCCGACGAUCAGUAGCCGACCUGAGAGGGUGACCGGCCACAUUGGGACUGAGACACGGCCCAA
rnacentral:rRNA from 1 species